UCAUUUUACGGAAUUUCAAUG
rnacentral:piRNA from 1 species